CCUACGGGGGGCAGCAGUAGGGAAUAUUGCUCAAUGGGGGAAACCCUGACGCAGCAACGCCGCGUGGAGGAUGAAGGUUUUCGGAUUGUAAACUCCGUCAGUUAGAGAGGAUAUUGACGGUAUCUAACGAAUAAGCACCGGCUAACUCCGUGCCAGCAGCCGCGGUCAUACGUGGGAUCCGAGCAUUAUCCGGAGUGACUGGGUGUAAAGAGUUGCGUGGGUGGGAUAAUAAGUAGCUAGUAAAAUCUGGUGGCUCAACCAUUCAGACUAUUAGCUAAACUGUGAAGCUCGAGUGCGUUAGGGGUAAAUGGAAUUUCUAGUGUAGGAGUGAAAUCCGUAGAUAUUAGAAGGAACACCAAUAGCGUAGGCACGUUGCUGGGACGGUUUUGACACUAAGGCACGAAAGCGUAGGGAGCAAACGGGAUUAGAUACCCCAGUAGUC
rnacentral:rRNA from 1 species